GACGAACGCUGGCGGCGUGCUUAACACAUGCAAGUCGAACGGAAAGGCCCUGCUUUUGUGGGGUGCUCGAGUGGCGAACGGGUGAGUAACACGUGAGUAACCUGCCCUUGACUUUGGGAUAACUUCAGGAAACUGGGGCUAAUACCGGAUAGGAGCUCCUGCUGCAUGGUGGGGGUUGGAAAGUUUCGGCGGGUGGGGAUGGACUCGCGGCUUAUCAGCUUGUUGGUGGGGGAGUGGCUUACCAAGGGUUUGACGGGUAGCCGGCCUGGGAGGGUGACCGGGCACCUUGGGACUGCGAUACGGCCCAGACUCCUACGGGAGGCAGCAGGGGGGAGUAUUGCACAAUGGGCGGACGCCUGAUGCAGCAACGCCGCGUGCGGGAUGACGGCCUUCGGGUUGUAAACCGCUUUCGCCUGUGACGAAGCGUGAGUGACGGUAAUGGGUAAAGAAGCACCGGCUAACUACGUG
rnacentral:rRNA from 1 species